AAUGGGGGAAACCCUGAUGCAGCGAUGCCGCGUGAGUGAAGAAGGCCUUUGGGUUGUAAAGCUCUUUCGUCGGGGAAGAAAAUGACUGUACCCGAAUAAGAAGGUCCGGCUAACUUCGUGCCAGCAGCCGCGGUAAUACGAAGGGACCUAGCGUAGUUCGGAAUUACUGGGCUUAAAGAGUUCGUAGGUGGUUAAAAAAGUUGGUGGUGAAAUCCCAGAGCUUAACUCUGGAGCUGCCAUCAAAACUUUUUAGCUAGAGUAUGAUAGAGGAAAGCAGAAUUUCUAGUGUAGAGGUGAAAUUCGUAGAUAUUAGAAAGAAUACCAAUUGCGAAGGCAGCUUUCUGGAUCAUUACUGACACUGAGGAACGAAAGCAUGGGUAGCGAAGAGGAUU
rnacentral:rRNA from 1 species